GAAUUGUUCGCAAUGGGCGCAAGCCUGACGACGCAACGCCGCGUGGAGGAUGAAGAUCUUCGGGUCGUAAACUCCUUUCGAUCGAGACGAAUUCCUCUGGGAUGAACACUCCCGGAGGUUGACGGUACCGAGAGAAGAAGCCCCGGCUAACUCCGUGCCCGCAGCCGCGGUAAUACGGGGGGGGCAAGCGUUGUUCGGAAUUACUGGGCGUAAAGGGCUCGUAGGUGGCCAACUAAGUCGGACGUGAAAUCCCUCGGCUUAACCGGGGAACUGCGUCCGAUACUGGUUGGCUUGAGUUUGGGAGAGGGAUGCGGAAUUCCAGGUGUAGCGGUGAAAUGCGUAGAUAUCUGGAGGAACACCGGUGGCGAAGGCGGCAUCCUGGACCGGCAUUGACGCUGAGGAGCGAAAGCCAGGGGAGCAAACGGG
rnacentral:rRNA from 1 species